GAUGAACGCUGGCGGCGUGCCUAAUACAUGCAAGUCGAGCGAACAGAUGAGGAGCUUGCUCCUCUGACGUUAGCGGCGGACGGGUGAGUAACACGUGGAUAACCUACCUAUAAGACUGGGAUAACUUCGGGAAACCGGAGCUAAUACCGGAUAAUAUAUUGAACCGCAUGGUUCAAUAGUGAAAGACGGUUCUGCUGUCACUUAUAGAUGGAUCCGCGCCGCAUUAGCUAGUUGGUAAGGUAACGGCUUACCAAGGCAACGAUGCGUAGCCGACCUGAGAGGGUGAUCGGCCACACUGGAACUGAGACACGGUCCAGACUCCUACGGGAGGCAGCAGUAGGGAAUCUUCCGCAAUGGGCGAAAGCCUGACGGAGCAACGCCGCGUGAGUGAUGAAGGUCUUCGGAUCGUAAAACUCUGUUAUUGGGGAAGAACAAAUGUGUAAGUAACUAUGCACGUCUUGACGGUACCUAAUCAGAAAGCCACGGCUAACUACGUG
rnacentral:rRNA from 1 species